UACGAAGGGGGCUAGCGUUGCUCGGAAUCACUGGGCGUAAAGGGUGCGUAGGCGGGUCUUUUAAGUUAGGGGUGAAAUCCUGGAGCUCAACUCCAGAACUGCCUUUGAUACUGAGGAUCUUGAGUUCGGGAGAGGUGAGUGGAACUGCGAGUGUAGAGGUGAAAUUCGUAGAUAUUCGCAAGAACACCAGUGGCGAAGGCGGCUCACUGGCCCGUUACUGACGCUGAGGCUACGAAAGCGUGGGGGAGCAACAGG
rnacentral:rRNA from 1 species